AGCCAUUCCAGUUUCAAAGAGCCUAGUAUUUUCCUUUUAUGAGACAUUUUCUGUAUUGGUUUUCAGUAUUUUUUGCAGCUUGAUAUUCAUGUUUCUCGUAUGUUCUUUCUUGCUCCUUUCUUCUUUUUCUUAAACCAAUAGUUGACAUGGCAAUAAGAACCCUCCUAGGAGAAAGCCAUUGUUCAACUCAGUUUGGGCACUACUAAUCCAGUCGCUAGAGCAGAGACGACCCAGCAGGCCUCUCAGUUAUUACAUAUCCUGGAAACUUGGCAUUUUAAAUCCAAAGCUGUAAGCCACUUCUUGCUAAAGUGUAGAACAGUUCAAUUCUGGGAUUUCUGUUCUGGGUCAAAUCUAGAUCCGAAUUGAAUCAGCAACUCUGAGAAGAAGAGAAGGAGCAUUUGGGGCUCCUGCUGAUUUUGAAACGAAUUACAAGACCGAAGAAAGCAACACCGAGAUCGGUGAUAUGUUUUGAAAAAUGGCAGAGCGAAGUAGAAAAGAGCCUUCCCCAUGGCCUCAGGUGAACCCUGUUGGAAGUGUGAAUGUAAGAGAAUCACCAUUCUGAAAUACCAGUCAUUUGGUCCUCCUGACAGACCGUCUUUAUGGUCCAGUUGGAGACUAGCUCUCUGAUGCAGUCAUUUGACGUUUACUGAAUCCUCAGGACGGACUUUGUGGACCACCAGGUUGGAGCAACUCGGAUGCAGGCGUGCCCUUCCCCCACACCACCAGGCCCAGAGUACCGAGGUCCGGCAUCUCCCUUCCAUCCCCUGCUCCAAGUGGCACCUGAGCAGGUCUUUGGACAGCUGCAAUGGAGACGUGUAGGAACCGUUUGCAGUUGUUCCUGUUUUUCUUGGCUUUCUUCAGUGUCCAAAAGCCAACUGGAUAUUGUUCUUUCUGUCUCUGGGUUGGUGGGAGAUCCAAGCGAGGAGAGAAAUUGAGGCGAGUUUUUGCCUUGGCCCCGAAUGGCUGGGUGUCAGAACGACGGCCGAUCCUCGGUCCUGACACCGAGGAUGGAGUAAGACUUCUGGGGGCUGGCCGGGGCGGGCGUGGGGGAGGGGAGGGGUCUUCCACAAAAUUCAGCUCCUGCUGUCUGUAUCAGCGAUCUGGUCUAGCUGGAUGUAUUUUUGUUGCAUUUUCCCAAGGAGGUCGCAGCAUUUGUCGCUAUGAAAUAAAGAACAAGAAUGCACCAUCUACUUGCAUUAGAUCCGCAUUUACCUGC
rnacentral:lncRNA from 1 species